CACGUAUUUAGCCGGUGCUUCUUAGUCAGGUACCGUCAUUCUUCUUCCCUGCUGAUAGAGCUUUACAUACCGAAAUACUUCUUCGCUCACGCGGCGUCGCUGCAUCAGGGUUUCCCCCAUUGUGCAAUAUUCCCCACUGCUGCCUCCCGUAGGAGUUUGGGCCGUGUCUCAGUCCCAAUGUGGCCGGUCACCCUCUCAGGUCGGCUACUGAUCGUCGCUUUGGUAGGCCGUUACCCUGCCAACUGGCUAAUCAGACGCGGGUCCAUCUCAUACCACCGGAGUUUUUCACACCGGAUCAUGCGAUCCUGUGCGCUUAUGCGGUAUUAGCAGUCGUUUCCAACUGUUAUCCCCCUGUAUGAGGCAGGUUACCCACGCGUUACUCACCCGUCCGCCACUCAGUCACAAAAUCUUCAUUUCCGAAGAAAAUCAAAUAGAGUGCUUCGUUCGACUUGCAUGUGUUAAGCACGCCGCCAGCGUUCAUCCUGAGCCAGGAUA
rnacentral:rRNA from 1 species